CUCAACCUGGUGCAUAUCACGUGACUGUUCUGAUGCGUUUGUCCCGUCCUGCCCUUUUUCAGGUCAGCAGAUGUUAUUGCCUCCACCACCUGCAUGUAAGUGUUUUUUUUAUUUUAGCGAUUGUCUAAUGUAACAGCAUAGGUUCAUCCUUUGCAAUGGCAUGUUAAAGAAACCUACCAUAAAUGAACUGACCAAUAUUCAUAUUUACUUUUUUAGAUGAGUCAACACCACACAGGAAACCUGCCAGUCGCCCAGAGCUGGAUGAGUCGAUUGUGACGCAAGCUCGGCCUGCCACUUCUUGGGACCCAGUUGAAGACCUCAUCGCACAGAGGGAGACCAUGGAGACGGAAAUGAGAGCCAUGAGGGCAUCCAUUGCCCGCCUGACACAGUAGAUGGAUGCAUUUGAGGAGAAGAUGGAUGAGCUGCUCAUGCUGUUAAGGAGCUCCCAGUUCCCUCCCUCUGCUCCAGGCGAGGACACGUUGGUGCCGCCCUGCUCGACCGUCACCGAGCUGGAGGAGUUUGACCGGCGAGUGGCAACCAAUGACGUGCUGAAAGAGUAUAGCCUGCGGGGAAGAAAGGCAAAGAAGGCCUUCCAGGACCUGACAAUCUGCAGGGUUAUAACAGCGGCCUCCCAGAAGAACUUCCCCACGCUGACUGCAGCAGACGUGGAGGUGGACAUGGAGCUCUAUUUUUUAUUUUUUUGUAUUUUUUCCAUCCAUCUUGCAGCUUGUAUUUUUGUAUUAACCUCUUAACAAACGGCUGCAUUUUCAAGCUUUUUGGUCUAAACGACAUACCCAAAUUAAAAGUGGUACAGCUCCCAUAUACUUUGACACUCUGGGGUGUGCCUGAUAUCAUUGGAAAGGUAACAGUCUCAAGUGUUUGUUCCAAGUGUCAGGGUGAUUCUAGACCUUACUGACAGAGUUACAGAGGCUAGAAUGGAGGGUUUUUAUUUCCGUCCAAGUCAUACAUCUGUAAAAUGAUUAAAAUACACUGCUACUGUAUGUGUAUGUGUGUAUAUGUAUGUAUGUGUGUGUGUGUAUAUAUAUAUAUAUAUAUAUAUA
rnacentral:lncRNA from 1 species